AAAAGCUAACAGUGAUGUGAGAAUGCUUUAUAGAACUGGGGUAGUUUGUCAGCUGGCCAGGUGAUGAAUCAUGGAAUAGAAUUCUUUCUGUGACCAAAUUAAACCCUAAUCCCAUGAAGAAAGCCCUCAUUGACAACUUCUGGCAAGGGAAUCCUGUCUGAAUAGCAGAAUUGGAGUGGAGGGUGACAUUUGCAGGUGCAAAGAGCCUCAUUAUAUUUUGGUUUGUUAAAAAAAAAAAAAAAAAGAAGAAGAAGAAAGUGAUCAUCACCAGCAAGGGCAGGUGGAAUCAAGCAGACACCAGAAUCUGCCUCCCUAUCUCUAAUGUGUAAGGAAAAACAAGGAAAACACCUUUAAAAUAAAACAAUUCUAUUGGAUCAGCACCUUCUUUGGUGAAGUUCAAAGAAAUUUCCCAGG